rnacentral:rRNA from 1 species
GACGUAGGGUCCAAGCGUUGUCCGGAUUUACUGGGCGUAAAGAGCGCGUAGGCGGUCUGUUAAGUGUGAAGUGAAAUCUCUAGGGCUCAACCCCAGAAACUGCUUUACAUACUGGCAGACUUGAGUGAUGAAGAGGUUUGUGGAAUUCCUGGUGUAGCGGUGAAAUGCGUAGAUAUCUGGAGGAACACCGGUGGCGAAGGCGGCAUCCUGGACCGAUACUGACGCUGAGGAGCGAAAGCCAGGGGAGCAAACGGG